AAAGUCGUAACAAGGUUUCCGUAGGUGAACCUGCGGAAGGAUCAUUACUGCUUGCUUACGGUCUCGUUUCGGGCAACCGAGCGGGAUCGAGCACGCUACCCUUGCUUAUGUAUACCUAUUGUUAUUCCCUCGGCGGGGCAACCUGCCGCUGGGAUCUCACAAACACCCUUGUAUUUAUAGCAUCAACACUUCUGAAAACAAACAAAAUUAUUACAACUUUUAACAAUGGAUCUCUUGGUUCUG
rnacentral:misc_RNA from 1 species